AAACUGGAGAGACAGAGGAGACUACUCAAAAAGAGACCUCAGAGGACACUACUCUGAAAGAGACCAUCGUUCAGCAGGUUUUCCCUGUUUAAGCGAAAGCCACUGACAAGCCAGAAGAAUGUAUGUA